rnacentral:tRNA from 1 species
GGCUCCAUAGCUCAGUGGCUAGAGCACUGGUCUUGUAAACCAGGGGUCACGAGUUCGAACCUCGUUGGGGCCU